GCGAAAAGCACAUAGUUUAUUGUGUUCUUCUGAUAACCUCUCUUUGGGACUAUGAGAUCAUCACAAGAUGUGAAAACGAAAGGAGUGAUUUCAGAAACUGUCGAUUCUGAGUACCCUAUGGCAUAUGCAAAGAAAGAUGAGAAACACAUGGGUGACUGGAAGCAUGCAGGGUUCGAAGGAAACUGCAGGCAUCCUAGCCGCCUUUCAGGGGCGCAGACUAGGUGACGUGAUGGUGGAGCCCUGUCCAGGGUCCUGACGCCGAGAAGCCGCUCCAGGGCUCCAGACCUGUCGGCCUCCGAAUGCCCUUUCACCCACCCCACAGGAGAGAAAACAAAGACUUCCAAAGCUCAAGGUCUCAGAGCUAGCUGCCUCCUGACUCGGGUCGGUUUGCUGGAAGAGGAAACCACAAAACAAAGGAACCACUAAUCCGCUCAAACUAUAUCCCUUGGCCCCAACCUCCAACUUCAGACCGCCAACAUUACCUUUUUUACACUGACUCUGAUUUUCUCAAAUAAAAACAUGUCAGCAAAAGCAUCAUUUGGAUAACAAAUCCAAACAUGCGUCUGUUUGGGGAAGAGUUGGG
rnacentral:lncRNA from 1 species